AUGAUGCGGUGUGGCUAUGGCACGGUUGAAGUUCAGUACAUUUUUGUUGCUUUUUCAUAUUUCGCGGGUCGUGUGCUCUCCCCCAACGCGUCGUGCAGUUCGCCGGUCCACAUCAUGUGGUUCACGGGCCGCGUGAUUGCAGUGCAGUUGACCCCUCAUUACCAUAUAACUGGAAUUAACCGAUGCAACUCCAAGAAGGAUUGGCCGGUGCUGCCGGUUGGUGUCAAGUUCGAUCCCACGGAUCAGGAGCUGAUCGAGCACCUUGAGGCCAAAGUGAGUGCUGACAGCGCGAGAUCUCACCCUCUCAUCGAUUUGUUCAUACCAACCAACGACAGCGAGCACGGCAUAUGCUACACCCAUCCUGAGAAACUUCCAGGUAUCACACUGAGUGGCCUAAGCAAGCAUUUCUUCCAGCGCAAUUCCAGGGCGUUCAAAAGGGGCACGUGGACGCGUAGCAAGAUACAGUCGGAGUGUGGCAUGCACGCGAUGUGGCACAAGACUGGCAAUACCUUGCCGGUGAUGGUCAAUGGCCGGCAGACGGGCAGCAAAAAGGUUCUGGUGCUGGACACCAACAAGAACUUCGACCAUUCCCGCAAAAAAAAAUUCGACCAGCAGAGGACCAACUGGGUGAUGCACCAGUACCACCUCGGGGACCUAGAGCAAGAGAACAAGCGGGAGCUGUUCUUCUGCAAGAUUUUCUACCAGACGAACACUAGGGCCAGGACUAAAAAGAUUAUAAGUUAG
rnacentral:rRNA from 1 species